GCCAUCAGCCAUAUCACCCUGCAACUCACAGCUGGCAUCCCAUUGAAGCUAAGCAGGUGUGAGCCUGGUCAAUACUUGGAUAUGAGACCUCCUGGGAAAAACUAAGGUUGCUGCUGGAA
rfam:Lepisosteus oculatus linkage group LG12, whole genome shotgun sequence.